rnacentral:rRNA from 1 species
AUUGAACGCUGGCGGCAGGCCUAACACAUGCAAGUCGAGCGGUAGCACAGAGAGCUUGCUCUCGGGUGACGAGCGGCGGACGGGUGAGUAAUGUCUGGGAAACUGCCUGAUGGAGGGGGAUAACUACUGGAAACGGUAGCUAAUACCGCAUAACGUCGCAAGACCAAAGUGGGGGACCUUCGGGACUCAUGCCAUCAGAUGUGCCCAGAUGGGAUUAGCUGGUAGGUGGGGUAACGACUCACCUAGGCGACGAUCCCUAGCUGGUCUGAGAGGAUGACCAGCCACACUGGAACUGAGACACGGUCCAGACUCCUACGGGAGGCAGCAGUGGGGAAUAUUGCACAAUGGGCGCAAGCCUGAUGCAGCCAUGCCGCGUGUGUGAAGAAGGCCUUCGGGUUGUAAAGCACUUUCAGCGGGGAGGAAGGCGAUGAGGUUAAUAACCUCAUCGAUUGACGUUACCCGCAGAAGAAGCACCGGCUAACUCCGUGCCAGCCGCCGCGGUAAGAC